GAUGAACGCUGGCGGCGUGCCUAAUACAUGCAAGUCGAGCGAAGCGGGGACGGGUGAGUAACACGCGGAUAACCUCCUAUACGACUGGGAUAACUUCGGGAAACAGAAGCUAAACCGGAUCCUUAUAGAUGGAUCCUCGCUGCAUUAGCUAGUUGGGAAGGUAACGGCUUACCAAGGCAACGAUGCGUAGCCGACCUGAGAGGGUGGUAGGCUCCACUUGAACUGAGCCGCGGCCCAGACUCCUACGGUAGGCAGGAGUAGAGAAUCGUCCGCUAUGGGAGAAAGGCUGACGGAUCAACGCCACGUAGCGGAUGAGGGUAUGAGGAUCGGAAAACUCUGUUAUUAGGGAAGCGGUACCUAAUCAGAAAGCCACGGCUAACUACGUGCCAGCAGCCGCGGUAAUUC
rnacentral:rRNA from 1 species